rnacentral:lncRNA from 1 species
AGUACCCACCCUCUCUACCAAAUUAUUAGCUGAAAACUGUGAUUGACUAUGUCCAACAUCACCACCAUAACCACUAAGCUGCAGCUCCUGAGUUUCAAACUUCUUCACGAGGCUCCUAACCUGAUCGAGCUCACCCUUCAGCUUCGUUGUAAGUUCUUUAAUCCCAAACCUCGAUCUUGAAUUCAAAUUAAUCCUAACUCGGUUCUCAAACCUCGUAUAUACUGGCACUUCCUCGGCAUUAACCGGUUCACUGCAGUGAUUUUGACCCGAAUAAAACCUAGACGUGACCAAAGCAUCGAUCGGGUUAUGAGAAGGAGAAGACGGAUUAGCACCGCCAUUGGUGGCCGCGACAGUGGGAGUCUGAAGGGAAUUACGAGCUACGCGUUUAGCAAUUUUACUCUGUU